UACGAAGGGUGCAAGCGUUACUCGGAAUUACUGGGCGUAAAGCGUGCGUAGGUGGUGAGUUAAGUCUGAUGUGAAAUCCCCGGGCUCAACCUGGGAAUGGCAUUGGAUACUGGCUCGCUAGAGUGCGGUAGAGGGUGGUGGAAUUCCCGGUGUAGCAGUGAAAUGCGUAGAGAUGUGGAGGAACACCGAUGGCGAAGGCAGCCCCCUGGGUCAAAACUGACGCUCAUGCACGAAAGCGUGGGGAGCAAACAGG
rnacentral:rRNA from 1 species